AGUUCCGCGCGGGUGUGACAGCCUGGAGUCGGCGCUCUAGGAAGUCGGCUUGCCCCUCGGGGCUUUGCAGCCUUAACAUCUUUCUCCCUGAGUUCCGGUCACUUUCCCAUUCGUCCUGGAGUGCUUGGUGGCGGGCCUCGACUCUUGCGUGGCGUCUGGGCUCCCUCUGGUCAUGGAGCAGUUGCUACACCUCUAAGUUUUUCUGAUCCGGUUGGUCUCCUGGGCCGCCGAGUCCAGGGCACUAAGAGCUGCUCGGCUCUUUGAGACAUCAGUACUUUUCCGACCCCGGCACAGGGCGACAGGUUACCCUCAACCACGUAUGGAAGAAAAACCACUUCCCUCCGGCGCCACACUGAGUCCGUUUCCAGAAGAAUAAGCGCCACCAUCAGAUGCUUCCCCGCCCUCCUAGAGGACUAGGUAGCCCCUCAGUCGGCCACCGCGCUCCGCCACCUUCCAGAUCUCCAGCCAGUUCCCCAGGACUCAGCCUAGACAGAGGCCAGCUUCAAGUCCGCCACUAUCCCAGGAUUCCCGACUCCGGGUUUCCGGCCCUUCUCCCCUCCCAGGUCCCGGCGCCUGCCGGAGCCGCAAGAUGGCGGACGGAGACUACUUCGCGGAAGCCGCGCGGGCCGUGGGGUGUCCCCAUGCACCUGUUCCUGGCUUGGGCCUGGGCCCGCCGCUGGGCUGGAAAGAGCGGCUGAAGGCCGGGUUGGCGAACUCUGGGUCCACGCUGUGGUUCCUGGCGGGGCUGGGGCUGCUUUACGCUCUGAGGGUCCCGCUGAGGCUGUGUGACAACGUGACAGCGGGUGAGAGGCCCAAACCUCCCGGACAGUCGGGGACAAGUGCCAAAGAUCAGAGAUUCUCGGGGAGACAUGGAGGGCUUUGCAGAAGGAAAUUGGUGUUGCAUGCUCCAGUGGGUUUAUUUUUGUCGCUUGGGCCACCUCCACCCGGCAGCUGAUUGUUAGAACCGUGCUGCAGUUUCCCGGCCCCUCCCUAGAUCGCUGAAGGUUCGCCCUCUCUAUUCUGUCUACGCUACCACAGGAAAAGCUACCUGACACGCUGCAAGCUCCAGUGACAGGGUUUUUAAGUUCACUGACACCCAAGUUCUAUGUGGCACUUACAGGGACAUCUUCUUUGAUAUCUGGACUAAUAUUUAUAUUUGAAUGGUGGUACUUCCAUAAGCAUGGUACAUCUUUUAUUGAACAAGUGUCCAUAAGCCAUUUGCGGCCACUGAUGGGAGGAACAGAGAGUAGCAUUUCAGAGCCGGGCUCUCCUGCCAACAGCAGAGAAAGUGAAACCCUCAGACACCACCAUCUAUCAGAAUGCAAGGUCUGGAGAAACCCUUUAAACCUCUUCAGAGGAGCAGAAUACAGAAGAUACACUUGGGUGACUGGUAAAGAGCCACUUACUUACUAUGACAUGAACUUGUCUGCCCAGGAUCACCAGACCUUUUUCACCUGUGAAACAGACUUUUUACGUCCUUCAGACACAGUUAUGCAGAAGGCAUGGAGGGAAAGAAAUCCUCCAGCUCGAAUCAAAGCAGCCUAUCAAGCUUUAGAGUUAAACAAUGACUGUGCCACUGCCUACGUCCUACUGGCCGAAGAAGAAGCAACAACCAUUGUAGAUGCUGAAAGGUUGUUUAAACAGGCACUCAGGGCAGGAGAGAUAAUUUAUAGACGGUCACAGCAAUGCCAGCACCAGAGCCCUCAGCAUGAAGCUCAACUGAGGCGAGAUACCAAUGUACUUGUGUAUAUUAAAAGAAGAUUGGCCAUGUGUGCGAGAAAAUUGGGAAGAAUAAGAGAAGCAGUGAAAAUAAUGAGAGAUUUGAUGAAAGAAUUUCCUCCUCUUACCAUGUUGAACAUCCAUGAAAAUCUUUUAGAAUCACUUCUAGAAUUGCAGGCCUAUGCAGAUGUUCAGGCAGUCCUGGCAAAAUAUGAUGAUAUAAGCCUUCCAAAGUCAGCGGCCAUCUGCUACACAGCAGCACUACUGAAAACAAGAACCGUCUCAGAUAAAUUCUCUCCAGAAACAGCCUUCAGAAAAGGGUUAAGCACAGCAGAAAUUAAUGCUGUGGAAGCAAUUCAUAGAGCUGUGGAAUUUAAUCCUCAUGUUCCAAAAUACUUACUAGAGAUGAAAAGUUUAAUCUUACCUCCAGAACACAUUCUGAAGCGAGGAGAUAGCGAAGCAAUUGCCUAUGCUUUCUUUCAUCUACAGCACUGGAAACGAAUAGAAGGUGCUCUGAAUCUCCUGCAGUGUACAUGGGAAGGCACUUUUAGAAUGAUUCCAUACCCAUUAGAGAAAGGACAUCUAUUUUACCCUUAUCCCAGCUGCACAGAGACUGCUGAUAGAGAGCUAUUGCCUACUUUCCAUCACGUCUCUGUCUAUCCAAAGAAGGAGCUUCCUUUUUUCAUCCACUUUACAGCAGGACUGUGCUCCUCUACCGCAAUGCUAGCGUUUCUCACUCACCAGUUUCCUGAAGUCAUGGGUGUUUUUGCUAAAGCUGUGAGUAUGAUCUCCAGGACUUGUGUGGAGUAUUUAUAAACCAGCGCAGGAAAGCAUCUCUCAUCUGCCAGUGCUAACCCGCACGAGCAGCGGAAGACACUUGUAGACGGCAAGAGCUGAUGUAAAGCUUCUACCAUGACUGUGUCAAACACAAGCUCUGGUGAUGUGAACUUCUAUCGCUUAAACGUUUAAGAGUACAAUGCUAUAACAUUAUAAAAUUGGCCUUUGUGAUUAAUUUUGGUGAUUAAUACAACAUUCCUUACCAACUAAAGAAUGAUACAAUUUUUCUUUAUCACUAGUGUAUUUUCUUUGGUAUUUAAAAACUACUAAUUUUGUAAACAAAACUUUGACUUUUCCAUUGAAAUGAUGUCACGAGUUCAAAACAUUUACUGACUUUAACUCAAGAGUGAAACUAUAGUGGGGAAUAAGUGCAUAGAAGGCACAGGAGGGACAUUUCACCAUGCGUGGCAUGUGCUUCUUGGCUCAAAGGUUCUCCUAGUUUUUGCAUCCUUUCAUUGACCCUUUCAGGUUCUGGCCUUAAGUAUAGACUGUGUGUCAGCCUUUAUUUUAAUUCAAACCCUUCAAUUUUGAAUUGGUUUCCUCUUUCCUGACCAAGGACUAUUUUUUUUUCCUUCCUUCCUUCCUUCCUUCCUUCCUUCCUUCCUUCCUUCCUUCCUUCCUUCCUUCCUUCCUCUCUUUACUCUUUCUGUCUGUCUGUCUGUCUGUCUGUCUGUUUAUUUAAUUUAUUUUGAGGCAAGAUUUCUCUGUGUAGCCCUGGCUGUUCUGGAGCUCACUCUGUAGACCAGGCUGGCCUUGAACUCAGAAAUCUGCCUGCCUCUGCCUCCCAAGUGCAGGGAUUAAAGGCGAGCAGCACCAUUGCCUGGCUGAGGACUGAUAUUUAAAAUGGUUCCCCUAUUUAUUCUUUAAUAUUAAUAUGUUAAUUCAUGUCACAAAAUUUUUUAUUUAAUAAUUUUUCAUUUUAAUAAUUUACAUAUUUUUAUGCAAUUUUUGAGGGGUGGCAAGAUGUUUCAGCAGGUAAAGUACUUGUUGCUAAGCUUAAUCUAAGUGAUCUAAGUUCGAACUCAUAUAAGGGUGGGAGAGAGCCAAGUUUAGAAAGUUGUUCUCUCACUUUCACACACAUGCCAUGAUGAAUGUGUCCCCAGGAUCAUGCAAACACAAUCAUCAUAAAUUAAACAUAAGCAAAUAAAUAAAAAUAUAUCUCCCUUUUACAGCCUAGCAUUAUCACCAGGCAAUGGGUGAGGAUCCAAAAGAAAGUGCUGUUUUGUUAUAUUCUCAAAUAUUCAGGAAUAAAUAAAUAUAGAAACACAUAUUUAAUUUGUAUGGAAUAAUUAAUAUGUAUUUCUAUAUUUAUUUAUUCCAUUAUAACUCCUUGUUUUUCUCAUAGUUUCUUUUCCUGGCAUGAGAAUAGUUUAUUCUGAGCCAGGCCAUGGUGUUGCAUGCCUUUAAUCCCAGCACUUGGGAGGCAGAGGCAGGGGAUCUCUAUUGAGUUCAAGAACAGCCUGAUCCACAGAGUGAGUUCCAGGACAGCCAGAGCUACACAGAGAAACCCUGUCUGAGAGGUAUUGAGAUGUGAGGGGGUCAACAACAACAGAACCCAAAAGAACUAGUCUAUUUUGUGCCUUGCAGAUGUGUUGGCUCUUACGGCACCAGUGCUAUGGACACUGGCUCCCUUUGCCUUGGAGGUCACCUGUGCAAUGUGUUAAGAUGUCACUGGCUCUAGGCCUAAUAGUCUAGGCCUAAUAGUACGAAUUUGAUUUUUAGUUAGGCUCCAAGACAAAUGACUUCCAACUGCUGCUCAGGGAGUGUGGGUGUGUGGGUUGCAGACUGACUAUUCCAUUCCCUCCUAAUGGGGAAAGGAAACUUGGUAAUGACUUUUACUGUUGCUUGUAGUGGUGCUGAUGGGGAAUAAGUGUGUCUCAGACUAACAUGACCUCACUGUGUGAGAGGCAUGGACAAAUGGACCAAAAAGGGGAUCCUGUUCACUUAGAGGAGAGGAAGAAAAGAAGUGGGGAGGCACUUAACCCACAUAUAUGAACGAUCCAGACAGGCAACGAGAGAGAUGGGUUCUUGAAUUUUUCUCAAGGCAAUGGAGUAGGAAGGGGGAGAAAUAGAGCAGGUCUGCAAUCUGCAACAAAGAUGGAGCAGUCAAUAGUGUAUUUCCCUGAAGUUCUAGCUAACAGGGAGUAGAGAGUGCUCUACUUUCUAUCCAUCAAUGUUCAUAUAGUCGUGGCCUUCGAUGACGAGGUCACUAAUGGCACCUGGAGAGCAGUAAGGUUACACAGCGCAGGUUGCUUAGCACUCUUAGCAGAGACGCGAGAAUGAAAAAUUGCACCUUUGAAAGUAGAAGCUUCCUUUUUUUUUAGACCAAAAGUUACUAAUAUAUUAUUAUUUUAGUUGCUAGAUAACAAACAUUUAUAUACUAUAUUUUAUUUGUAUAGUUGGUGAUAUAUAAUAUUUAAAAGCUUGCUGACAGUGAACUUUUAUAGCUAUCUUUUAUCCCUGUGGGUAUUACAUGUAUAUUUUUUGAUUUCUGAAAGCCACAUACUUACUGAUGAGACUUGCACAUCAGUAUGUGGUAUGCAGCUAUUCUAAAGUCAGGUCCUAUGUAAGAGUCAGUGGAAAGUGAUUGGGCAGUCUGCCCCUCACAGUGUGCAACACUUAAAUGCUUCCACAGAAGACAUGCAACAAGGAACUGGAGGCUCCUUUUCUAGUUUUUCACCACUUCAUAACAUAUGGUCUAUGCACGAGAAACACCACCCUCUUGUAGGAGCAUGUUAAGAAAGGAUCGGCUCAGGCUUCGCUGCAGAGUCUGAAUCAGAGUCUGAGUCCUAACAAGAUCCCCAGCUUAUCCUGCAUGCACUUUUAAAGCUCAAGAAGCCUCCUUCCACCACCACCACCAGUUAUUCUGGCCACCAAUGCGAGGAAUUGGAACACCAGGAUAGCAUGCUGCCUUAUCGGGCUGGAGAAGUGGCUGCCCUGCAGAGUGCUUAUGAGCAAGACUCUGGAACCAAACUGCUUUGCUCUGAUCCCAGCUCUGACACCGCCUAUGCAACCUCAUGUAAGUUAUGCAAUCUUCUCUAGUCUUCGUUGUAAAGUAAGAAAUAGUGCUACAUAGGUGUUGUUGGGGUAAAUGUGUUUAACGUAUAUCAACUGUGUAGAACUAUUCCUCCACAGUAAGAAGUAAGUGGAUAUUAUUCCCUCUGAUUGCAAAUGAUGUUACCACUAAAGAGAGCCUACCUCUUAUGAGGAUAACAAGUGCAAAAUGAGUUUUCCCACAGUAAUUGGAAUAUAAUGAUAGCUGGAUGUCAUUUAAAUAAUAAGAAUAUACAACUGAUACAUCAUGUGUGUGUGAACCACAAAAAGAGGGGAAAAUGUUUCCAAUUCUUGGUUCUGGCAAACUGUUGUUUAGAACAGAACAUUUUGGCAAGUUAUAAACCGUCAGAUUAUGACAAUAUAAAGUAAAAGCUGAUGAAA